rnacentral:rRNA from 1 species
UCCUGGCUUAGGAUGAACGCUAGCUACAGGCUAACACAUGCAAGUCGAGGGGUAGCAGGGUAGCAAUACCGCUGACGACCGGCGCACGGGUGAGUAACACGUAUCCAACCUUCCCAUAACUCAGGGAUAGCCUUUCGAAAGAAAGAUUAAUACCUGAUAGUACUUUUUCAAGGCAUCUUGAGAAAGUUAAAGAUUUAUUGGUUAUGGAUGGGGAUGCGUUCCAUUAGAUAGUUGGUGAGGUAACGGCUCACCAAGUCUUCGAUGGAUAGGGGUUCUGAGAGGAAGGUCCCCCACAUUGGUACUGAGACACGGACCAAACUCCUACGGGAGGCAGCAGUGAGGAAUAUUGGUCAAUGGGCGAGAGCCUGAACCAGCCAAGUAGCGUGAAGGAUGAAGGUCCUAUGGAUUGUAAACUUCUUUUAUAGUAGAAUAAAGUGAUCCACGUGUGGAUUUUUGUAUGUAUACUAUGAAUAAGGAUCGGCUAACUCCGUGCCAGCAGCCGC